rnacentral:lncRNA from 1 species
AUGGCUGUAAAUACAGAUGAAGCAUUGCUCACUGGCCCGCCACUCACUUCCUGCUGUGCAGUCCAGUUCCUAACAGGUCACAGACCAAUAUUCAUCCAUGGCCUGGAGAUUGGAUACCCCUACAUUAGAGGAUUCUGUGAAGGACACUGGGAAGGAAUGACGGGGAAGCCAGAACCAGUAAGGGAGAUGUCUCAGUGGUCAGAGAGUUUCCAGAGCAUCUUGGAAGACAACCAGUCCCAGAACCUAUAAACAGUGCUUCCCUUCAGAUGCGGCUUUUAUCCUGAUUGGUCAGAGAAAGAUAGACUGUUCCCUUGCUGAUAAAGGGCUUUUUGAAGACUUUUACAUAACUUCUGCAAUGCACUGGAAAAUAACACCCAGGAAAAGGCUGGGUGUUGGGGGUGGAUAAUAAACUCUUACUGCUGUAUGAAAAGCUACAUUUUUCAGAGUAAUAUGGUGAUUACAGAUAAAAAAAAAUAAAUUUUAAUAAUACCACAAUGCAGAGUCAUCAAAUAAUUGGACAUUGCUCCAGUAACUUCUGGGAGAAUUUGCACCUGUUGCCUCUUUCCCCAAGGAUGGAAGAGGUUGCCAGAACCAACUCCUCCUGCGAGGGUUACCUGAAGCUCGCGUAAGCAUCAGCAUUGGCUAGGUCAUCGUCUCUUCCAGUUCUGCCACCAACCAACUCGUUCCAAGAAAAUGUGGGAAAUAAUGCCUUAUCUUUAAGUAAGUCAGAAGCUGUCACACUUACAAAGAAAAAUGUUUUCUGGUCAGGGUUCCCUGUGGGCAUGUCCUUGCAGAUGCCUUGCUGCAGCUCUGAAUUUCUGGUUACAAUUAACUGGCGAUGAACUGAAGCUAUGCUAGUUUAGAUUAGGGGUUUUGAAAAAGCCUACUUGUAUAGUAACAGCAUACCUAGUCUUAGCUUUUAGGUUCUCUUUCUUCAAAGGGAACAUUCAGAGCCAGAUAGAGGCAGAGGUCUGCCAGGCAGCUUCUUAGAGCAACAAUCUAUAGGAGGAAACUAUAAGGGGGAACUCACAUAACACUAAAGUAAACUGGAAAUACAGCCUCAGCUAUCCUGAGUAAAAUGUAAUUGUCUCAAUACUCUUGAAAUAUCUAUUUUGGAGUUGGAAGACAAACACCACCCCACCACACACACGCAUGCACGCACACACACAAACAGAUACUCUUGAGUAUUUUGGCAAUGUAUACAUGCUAAAUAGUAAUUUGUUGUCUUUAACUGAAAUUCUAAAACCAAAUAACGCAUGGCAUAAUACUUAAGAGAAAUGAGUGAUUUUUUUAUUAUCCAAAAUGUUAAACCCUUUAAUAUACCUCCCAAGGGUUGUCUGGUUCAGAAACUCACAAAAGUAAAUGGAAGUGCAAACUAGAACUGCUGAAAAAAAUGGAAAACAAAUUUAAACAUCAUGAGCCAAUGAAGUAAAUUAAGUGACUCUAACUCUAUGUAAUGUUCAUUACCAGAAAUUAUUUUCCCACUCCUACUAAAUAAAUGUUAAGUAAUUAUUUAAAUGAUAUAAAUUAUGUUACAUUACUAACUUGCUUGGAGUGCUCACAUGAAAGUCUUAAUUACUCAUACUUUCUCACCACCAAAAAAAGAAAGAAAGAAAUAAGUUGCAGGGGUUGGGGGUUAAGAAAGGAAAGGAGGGAGAGAGGGAAGAAAAUAAUUGAUUUCUGCCAUUUUGGAAAACAGAUUGGCAGCUUCUUAAGAAGUUAAACACGUAUCAGCCGGGAGCGGUGGCUCAUGCCUGUAAUCCCAGCACUUUGGGAGGUCAGGGCGGGUGGAUCAUCUGAGGUCAAGAGUUUGAGACCAGUCUGGCCAAAAUGGCGAAACUCUAUCUCUACUAAAAAUACAAAAAUUAGCCGGGCGUGGUGGUGGGUGCCUAUAAUACCAGCUACUCGGGAAGCUGAGGCAGGAAGAAUCCCUUGAAUCUGGGGGAGACAGACGUUGCAGUGAGCCAAGCUCGCACCACUCGACUCCAGCCUGGGCAACAGAGUGAGACUCUGUCUCAAAAAAGAAAAAGAAAAAAAGUUAAACACAUAUCAACCAUAUGAUCCAGCCAUUCUACUCCCAGGUAUUUACCUAAGAGAAAGGGAAACACAUAUCAAUACAAAAAUUUAAACACAAAUGUUCAUUGUGAGGUAAGAGGAAGGGCUUGACUCAGGAGGGGGACUUGACUACAGAAAUAGGGCUUGGACACUGGACUGAGUUGAGGACCAGCUAAAACACAGAAUGAGGCAGAAGCAGCUUUCCAUUA